GGGGAAUAUUGCGCAAUGGGCGAAAGCCUGACGCAGCAACGCCGUGUGAGGGAUGAAGGCUUUCGGGUCGUAAACCUCUGUCAGAAGGGAAGAACGGGUAUUGGUCUAAUAGGCCUUUAUUUUGACGGUACCUUCAGAGGAAGCACCGGCUAACUCCGUGCCAGCAGCCGCGGUAAUACGGAGGGUGCAAGCGUUAUUCGGAAUUACUGGGCGUAAAGCGCACGUAGGCCGCUUUGUAAGUCAGGGGUGAAAUCCCCCGGCUCAACCGGGGAACUGCCCUUGAAACUGCGAAGCUUGAAUCCUGGAGAGGGUGGCGGAAUUCCUGGUGUAGGAGUGAAAUCCGUAGAUAUCAGGAGGAACACCGGUGGCGAAGGCGGCCACCUGGACAGGUAUUGACGCUGAGAUGCGAAAGUGUGGGGAGCAAAC
rnacentral:rRNA from 1 species